rnacentral:misc_RNA from 1 species
UCGAUUAAUAGACGCUCGCAAGAGGUCUUAAAUCUUAACUUCACACACUGUGCACUUGAAGCUUUUUUAAGCUUGUCAAAUUUUAACACUUGUAAUUUAAAGUUGAUGAUGUAUAAACUUGAUAAAGAAAAUUA